AAUAUUAGCAGGAAGCUCUUGAUUGAGUAUCUUCUUCUUCAAAUAGUGAACCACAAGCUCCGAGUCUCGAGGGCUAAACGUAUACCCAGAUGGCAAAAUAAGUCGUUUACCAUUUUGAUCAACAUUGACCUUAGAAAGAGUGGGGCUUGAGUACUCUUCCUCCAUUGUAGAGAGAGAGAGAGAUUCCCAUACAAAACACAGAGGUAGUAGUAAAAGAAGAAGAACUGGUCUGUGCUUUUAUACAUGUAGAUGGUACAGAUGUGUUUGAUUCCUGCCCAAACACUCGGUGCUCUCUCCCACCCACCCACGUCUCCUCCCCCAUUCCAUCUUUAUCUCCUCUCUGUUGCACGUCUCUCUCCUUCUCUCUCACCCGAUCUCUGCCUCUCACCCCCACCAUCCCACCCACCCUCCCGCUCGCUGCCUCUCCCCCUCCACCCGAUCUCUGCCUCUUCCCGUCUCCCCCCACCCUCCCACUCGCUUUCUGAAGGCUAGGGUUUCCGAUUAAGAACCGCGAUACCUUUCUGAACCCCGAUUGGAGCUCUCCGGUAGAGCUACUUCAGAGCUACACCAAACCCGAGGCUUCUAUCUGUGCAAGGUAAUAUUUCUGUCUCUGUUCCCCUUCUCUCUCUGCUGAAAGACAAUCACAAACCUUUGCAGAAAACAGAAUCAGAGUUUCUAUAUUUCUGUAUAGAUUGGAAAAGCUAUGGAUGCUGAAAUUCCCUUUAUUAGAUUUCUUGACAUAUAUACAAAGUUAUACGGGGAGAAUGAUGGAAGGGUUUUUGAAUGGCUAUGUGUUUGUUGGCCCAUGUGAAAUGUGCAUAAGGGAAUGCUGAUGAAGGCAGUCAAUUAUAUAGAAAUGCUCUUCAGGUCCUUACAGAUUCAAAAAGUAUGCCUCUGGAUGACAACGUAAUGGAAAAGAUGAUAGAUUUACCAGAAUUGCUGCAUUUAGUGGGAAGGGUUUGGGAGCAUUGAAUUGCUUGAGGUUCUGGAUUUACAUAAUCUCAAACUGGUUGGCAGCAUUCCUGAAGAAAUCAGCAAUUGCAAGUUUCUUCUUCAGUUAAAUUCAAAGUUCAGAAUUUAAACCUUAUUGUGCCCGUGAAGAUGGAAUUAUGACUUCUGAACUCCAAGAAAUGUUAUAUUGAGAACAACAAAUUGGGGUUUCUGGCUUGGCCGUAAAUGUGGAUCCAAAAGGAAAUAAUUUGACUGCUGUUCAGAAGCUCAAGUAAUUUGGCUUGGACAUUGUAGUGUGCAGACUAUCAUCUCCCAUUUUAUAUGACUAAUUACCAUCCCCAAAAGCCUCCGAAGCAGCUGAUAAUUCCAACCCAACAAAACUAGAGCAAUUUUAGCAGAAAUUCAGAGUUCAGAAUUUAAACCUUAUUGUGCCCGUGAAGAUGGAAUUAUGACUGCUGAACUCCAAGAAAUGUUAUAUUGAGAACAACAAAUUGGGGUUUCUGGCUUGGCCGUAAAUGUGGAUCUAAAAGGAAAUAAUUUGACUGCUGUUUCGAAGUGUGCAGACUAUCAUCUCCCAUUUUAUAUGACUAAUUACCAUCCCCAAAAGCCUCCGAAGCAGCUGAUAAUUCCAACCCAACAAAACUAGAGCAAUUUUAGCAGUCUGCUGGAAAAGUGGAAAAGAAUGAUAAGGACUCGCAGGAUGAAAAAGCAACCACAGGAAAAGCCAAUACACCUGCUGUGGGAGGAAUUUAAGGAUGAGGAGAUGGUUGAUGUGAAGUCAUUACACAUCCGAAACUUUCUCUGAAGUUGAGUUUGUUGAUUAUAACUGUUAGGAUACUCAUAUCCAACAAUUGUUUGAAGAAAAGAGAUUAUAACUGUUCAGGUAUUUGUUAAAAUAAAGGGAAAUACUGGAUUAAUGUUUUGGUGAUUUGUAUGUGUCUGGUCUAACUUAUCUUUAGCUCCUUGAAUAUUGAUUGGUUGGCGAUCUCCAAUCACAGUGAGAUUUGAAAUUGCAGUUGAAGUGCUGCUUCUUUGUUUUCAAUGGCCAACUUUUGUUUUAAGCUUCUGCUAUAUUACAUAAGGAUUUUGAAGCUGUCUUCUUUAAUUGAAAUUCAUUGAUUACCUAGGGACUUGUCUUAAAAAGAGAUGUAAUCUUAGAUUUAAUAGUAAACCACUUGGUUAUCUUUUCGUCUAUUGUUAUUGGUCGGUUUCCAGACAAAAGAAAUUUAAAAACUAUGCCAAUAUACUGUAAGAAUGUGAUGGAUCGCAGCCCUCUAAAUCUCCAUUCUCAAAUUUUCACAAAAUCUUAAAAAAGGGUAAAUUAUAAAUAUGCCCUUGAUGUUUGUAAAAUAUUCUCACUCUCUCUAUGGGAGCUUGCAUUUUAAGAUUAGUAUCCAAAGUUUGGUAAUGAGGUGCGGUGUUGCCUUUGAGUCAAACUUGGUUCUAGAUCAUGACACAAUGCAAUUAUACAAUUGGAUUUGUUAUUUUUAUAACUGUAUUUUAAUCUUAAUAUUAUUUACACCGUGCCUUUAGGCACGGGCGUACGUUAGUAUAUAUAUAAAACAACACCCAAAUAGUACAAAUUAAUGUGUGUUUGGAAGGGGAAAAAUUAGGUACACACCUAACUUUGGCAUAUUGCACAAAGUAAUUGCCUCGAGACUUGAACUCAUAUUAGGCAAAUGUUAUUUUAAAACUUGUUGGUCACCAAAAAACAGUGUUGUUGGUCAUGUUACUGCAAAUUUUAUUUUCCUAGAGAGCGGAAGAGGAAACAGCUCGUUUGUGUCAAGAGUUUGUGGAGUCAUUUCAAGGGGAAAACAUACCAGGGUCUAAGGUAUUUGUUAGAGGAGGGACAAUCAAUGUCAAUGAUGGACUGAAGAUUGAUUCUAAAGGUGGAAAUUCCGAAAAUGGGGUAUCUGGUUCAAAGAAAGGGAGUAGGUAAAUAAAUGCUUUUGAAUAACCAUGUUACAGUGCUAUAUGUAAUAAGGCAUUCUGAUUAGGGAAAUUAUAUGAUAGAGAUAUCUUUAAAUGAAGCUUUUGUUGCUUCGGCUUGUCAGUAUUGGAAAAUUAAGAAGCACAUGCUGUGUAUUUAGUCACAGAUUCUGCAUUAAUCUGUAAUGUAUUUUCUUAUUGUGGCAUUUUUUUAUUUUUUUAUACAAAUGAUUGAAUUAUGAUGUGAACUUCUGUAGAUUAAUGCAAACCCGGUUUCUGAACUUCA